rnacentral:tRNA from 1 species
AGGGCUAUAGCUCAGCGGUAGAGCGUCUCGUUUACACCGAGAAUGUCUACGGUUCGAAUCCGUAUAGCCCUA